rnacentral:rRNA from 1 species
AUUGAACGCUGGCGGCAGGCCUAACACAUGCAAGUCGAGCGGACGAAGGGAGCUUGCUCCUGGAUUCAGCGGCGGACGGGUGAGUAAUGCCUAGGAAUCUGCCUGGUAGUGGGGGAUAACGUCCGGAAACGGGCGCUAAUACCGCAUACGUCCUGAGGGAGAAAGUGGGGGAUCUUUGGACCUCACGCUAUCAGAUGAGCCUAGGUCGGAUUAGCUAGUUGGUGGGGUAAAGGCCUACCAAGGCGACGAUCCGUAACUGGUCUGAGAGGGUGAUCCGUCACACUGGAACUGAGACACCGUCCCGACUCCUAAGGGAGGCCGCAAUGGGGAAUAUUGGCCAAUGGGCGAAAACCUGAUCCAGCCAUGCCGCGUGUGUUGAGAAGGUCUUCGGAUUGUAAAGCACUUUAAGUUGGGAGGAAGGGCAGUAAGUUAAUACCUUGCUGUUUUGACGUUACCAACAGAAUAAGCACCGGCUAACUUCGUG